UACGGAGGGUGCGAGCGUUGUCCGGAAUCACUGGGCGUAAAGGGCGCGUAGGCGGUGCGGUAAGCGUGCGGUGAAAGCUCGGGGCUCAACCCCGAGUCGGCCGUGCGAACUGCUGGACUGGAGCAUGUCAGAGGCGGGUGGAAUUCCGGGUGUAGCGGUGGAAUGCGUAGAGAUCCGGAAGAACACCGGUGGCGAAGGCGGCCCGCUGGGACAUAGCUGACGCUGAGGCGCGACAGCGUGGGGAGCAAAC
rnacentral:rRNA from 1 species